UACGGAGGAUGCAAGCGUUAUCCGGAUUUAUUGGGCGUAAAGCGUCCGUAGGUGGCCAUCCAAGUCAGUUGUUAAAGCGUAGAGCUUAACUCUAUAAGGGCAAUUGAAACUGGAUAGCUAGAGUGCGAUAGGGGCAAGGGGAAUUCCCAGUGUAGCGGUGAAAUGCGUAGAUAUUGGGAAGAACAUCGGUGGCGAAGGCGCCUUGCUGGGUCUGCACUGACACUGAGGGACGAAAGCUAGGGGAGCGAAAGGG
rnacentral:rRNA from 1 species